UACAGAGGUCUCAAGCGUUUGUUCGGAUUCAGUUGGGCGUAAAGGGUGACGUAGGCGGCGCGGUAAGUCGGGUGUGAAAUCUUGGAGCUUAACUCCGAAACUGCAUUCGAUACUGCCGUGCUUGAGGACUGGAGAGGAGACUGGAAUUUACGGUGUAGCGGUGAAAUGCGUAGAUAUCGUAAGGAAGACCAGUGGCGAAGGCGGGUCUCUGGACAGUUCCUGACGCUGAAGCACGAAGGCCAGGGGAGCAAACGGG
rnacentral:rRNA from 1 species